rnacentral:lncRNA from 1 species
GGCUUUCCUUCAGCAUGAAGCCUGACUAGUCCUUUAUUCUGUGAUGUGAGGAGCUGGUAGUGGCAUGAAGAGAGAAUUCACCCAGAUACCAGCUGCCUCAGACCUGGACUACAUGGCCACCAGAACCAACCCACAAAUCUACACAAGACUUGAGACCAGUCACCUACCUCCCAGCCUGGCUGCCAACCACCAAGUACUGAAUGUCCCUGAGCCUGGUAUAGGUGGGAACACAGCAAGCAGGAGCUCCUCAAGCCCACGUGACAGGGGAACAGGAAGAAAGGAGAGCCCCCAAAGGCCCUGACAUGUUGGCCACAUAAGCAGUGCUUCCUGGGUCAUGAU